rnacentral:rRNA from 1 species
UACGAAGGGGGCUAGCGUUGCUCGGAAUGACUGGGCGUAAAGGGCGCGUAGGCGGCUCAUACAGUCAGAUGUGAAAUUCCUGGGCUUAACCUGGGGGCUGCAUUUGAUACGUGUGGGCUUGAGUGGGGAAGAGGGUCGUGGAAUUCCCAGUGUAGAGGUGAAAUUCGUAGAUAUCUGGAGGAACACCGGUGGCGAAGGCGGCAUCCUGGACCAACACUGACACUGAGGAGCGAAAGCCAGGGGAGCAAACGGG